GACGAAGGAUGCAAGCGUUAUCCGGAUUCAUUGGGUUUAAAGGGUGCGUAGGCGGUUUCAUAAGUCAGUGGUGAAAUACGGCAGCUCAACUGUCGAGGUGCCAUUGAUACUGUGAGACUUGAGUACAGACGAGGUAGGCGGAAUUGACGGUGUAGCGGUGAAAUGCUUAGAUAUCGUCAAGAACACCGAUAGCGAAGGCAGCUUACUAGGUUGUAACUGACGCUGAGGCACGAAAGUGUGGGGAUCAAACAGG
rnacentral:rRNA from 1 species